GAGUUAUCCAACUCCCAACCCCUGUGAAUUAUACCUUUAAUUGUUGCUUCGGCGGGACUUCGCGCCCGCCGGGGACCCAAACCUUCUGAAUUUUUUAAUAAGUAUCUUCUGAGUGGUUAAAAAAAAUGAAUCAAAACUUUCAACAACGGAUCUCUUGGCUGGCAUCGAUGAAGAACGCAGCGAAAUGCGAUAAGUAAUGUGAAUUGCAGAAUUCAGUGAAUCAUCGAAUCUUUGAACGGUAUUUCGUAGCUCAUGCACAUUGCGCCCGUCAGUAUUUUUCUGGCGGGCAUGCCUGUUCGAGCGUUAACGUUACGCCCCUCAAGUCCUUUGUGGACUUGGUGUUCGGGAUCGGCGAGGCUGGUUUUCCAGCACAGCCGUCCCUUAAAUUAAUUGGCGGUCUCGCCGUGGCCCUCCUCUGCGCAGUAGUAAAGCACUCGGCCCGCGGCGGAAAAUAUUUACAACAGGAGCCCGGCGCGGUCCACUGCCGUAAAACCCAACUUUAUAAUAAG
rnacentral:rRNA from 1 species